GUCAUUCAAAUUGACUUCUUAAAAACAAAUUGUCCAAUAAAUUAAAUUAAUUAUUUAUAUAUUUAUAUACAUUAUUAAUAAAAUAAUUAACGAAUAGUAACAAUAAUCUUACAACAUUAUUCCAUAAAAAUAUUGAAACAAUCAAAAAAACAAUUUAAUGACAAGUCAGAGAUAAUUAUUGACAUCGUUUGAAAGGAAAAAAAAGAAAAAUAAGAUUUAUUUCAAUUGAAGAAAUCAAGGUUAUGUUUGCUAUAAGUCCUAAGGAACAUCAUAGCAUAGUUGACAAGCUGGUUAUAUAAUAUUGCUUUGCAUCGAAAAUGAGAUAAUAAAAGCUAAAUUUUCAAAAUAUGUAAAAAGAAAAAAAAAUUAAAAAAGGCUUUUACUAUUAUCGUUGUUCCAGACAUCAU